rnacentral:pre_miRNA from 1 species
GGGCUAUCGAACGACCGGGUGCCACGCUGUGCUCUCUCGAAAAUUAUGGCGGAGUGAACACAGCUGGUGGUAUCUCAGUUGUUCCCUAGUUC